rnacentral:rRNA from 1 species
UACGAAGGGGGCUAGCGUUGUUCGGAAUUACUGGGCGUAAAGGGCGCGCAGGCGGUCGCUCAAGUCAGGCGUGAAAGCCCCCGGCUCAACCGGGGAAGUGGUGCCGAAACGACCCGUCUGGAGGGACGUAGGGGGACCUGGAACUUCCGGUGGAGCGGUGAAAUGCGUUGAGAUCGGAAGGAACGCCCGUGGCGAAAGCGAGGUCCUGGACGUCUACUGACGCUGAGACGCGAAAGCUAGGGGAGCAAACGGG